GUUCACCAGAGGUUCAAGCUGCACAGCAGAGGAGUGUGAAAUCCAGUCUGCCUGCCACACACUGGCCUGUCCCAGGGAGGCGAAAUGUUUCUUUUCGCCUCUCAAAAGGAAAAAUGUUUGUCUCUAUUUGCGUGUGAGCUUCCAAGCUUUUCAAGUGUCCCUAGCUCAUAGACUUAAGCUGCUUGUGACCUCUCUUGCAUGUCCUCUCCACCCCCAACCCGUGGCUGUCCUGCCUGAGCCUGGUUCUGCCCUAUUAACAGGAAGAAAUCAGAGUCUUCCCCACCCGUCACCUGCCACGCCAUGCACGCAAAGAAUGGGAGACGAUUCAAUGCAAUCCACUGGUUUCCUUUAUUAAACAAUGAUUUUUUUUGUAUGAGCUGGCUUAUACAAAGUCAGUUAUUGUGAAUCAUGAUUUGUUUUAGUUGGAUUGUAAUUGGACGAUGAUGGAAUGUGUCUUUAAGAUGACUUUGCUGUAAAUUGGCUCUGUACAAAUAAAGUUGAACUGAAUUAAAUUGAA